rnacentral:lncRNA from 1 species
AGGCUGCAGUGAGCCGUGAUUGUGCCGCUGCACUCCAGCCUGGUUGAUAGAGUGAGACCCUGUCUCAAAAAGAAAAGCUUUUUUGGAGGUGUGUUUUAUUUUACACUCUGUGUUUGUACGUAAUUUUUUUUUUCUCACAAAUCAUCAAGUAAAAUAAAUGCUUUAGAACAACCUGCAAACUGAUGGGCUCAUUGUGGCCUGCAGAAGUGUUUUAUUAAAAAAAAAAAAAAAAAGAGUAAGUGUGUAUUUGCUGUUAUCUGGGAUAAGUGCAAUCCAUGCAUGGAGAAUGGCAAGUUCAAAGACCCUGAGGGAGGCAGGAAGACCAACAAGGAAACUAUUGACAUAAUUUAGCAAAAUGUGAUAGUGGCUGGACCAGGAUUGAAGCAGAUGAAGAAUGGUGAGAUUGAGUAUUUGAAAAGGGGAUUCAAAGACAGAUCAGAUGUGGAGUGUGAGAGACAAGAAGGAAGUAAUAAUUAUUCCAGGUU